rnacentral:rRNA from 1 species
UACGGAGGGGGCUAGCGUUGUUCGGAAUCAUUGGGCGUAAAGGGCGCGUAGGCGGCCGAUCAAGUCGGAGGUGAAAUCCCUCGGCUCAACUGAGGAAUUGCCUUCGAUACUGUUCGGCUUGAGUCCUGGAGAGGGUAGCGGAAUUCCCGGUGUAGCGGUGAAAUGCGUAGAGACCGGGAAGAACACCAGUGGCGAAGGCGGCUACCUGGACAGGUACUGACGCUGAAGCGCGAAAGCUAGGGGAGCAAACGGG